UACGGAGGGUGCAAGCGUUGUUCGGAAUUACUGGGCGUAAAGCGUAUGUAGGCGGUUGGUUAAGUUUAGUGUUAAAGACUGAAGCUCAACUUCAGGAAUGCACUGGAUACUGGCCAACUAGAGGGCAAUAGAGGAGGGUGGAAUUCCCAGUGUAGCGGUGAAAUGCGUAGAUAUUGGGAGGAACACCAAUGGCGAAGGCAGCACCCUGGGCCGGUACUGACGCUGAGGAGCGAAAGCGUGGGGAGCAAACAGG
rnacentral:misc_RNA from 1 species